UCUGUAGUGGGUCGUCUCUACCACUGCUGUGUGGUCUAUAUCUACCACCUUUGUGUGGUCUUUCUCCACCAUCCGUGUGGCUCUUCUCCACCAUUAGUGUGUGGAUUUUCUCUCCCCACUCUCUUUGUGGUCCUUUCCAUCUAAAUCAGAAUCUUCCCAUCAAUCUUUCCCCAAAUCUCUGUUUUCAUACCCAUAAAUUCAUACCCAAAUUGCAUGAGGUUGCUUAGGGAGGAGACCAUCACUGCUCCUCAGUGGGUUUGGUUGGUUGCCUCUGUGUUUUGCCUUUCGUGGAUCCUGGUUGCGGGAAUAGCACUAAUUCCACAGCCAGUGAGUGGAUCGGCACCCCUUAUUGCUGAGUCUCUGCCUUCUUUUUUGUUUAUGAUACAAUUUCGGCAAGCUUUGAUUCUCCUUGCUUGGCUUUGUCAUGGCCUAGUUCAAGCUGAGUCGAAAAGAUCCCUCAUAGCCAUUGUAAAUAAGGCCAAAGUUCUUAUUGCUCAGUUAGUCAGAAUGAAGAUUCUCAUGUGGAAUUGUAGAGGAGCUCUUAAUCUGGAAUUUAAGAGAAGGGUUUGUGAGUUGGUUGCGAAUCAUCGCCCCUCGAUUAUGGUUAUUACGGAGACCAGAGUUGGUGGUGAGAGAGCUGAAAAAAUCAUAGAGGGAUUGCCCUUUGAUGGUUUUAUUACAACGGACACUAUUGGGUAUGCUGGUGGCUUAUGGAUCCUGUGGAGAGGGUGCGGAAAUUUCUCUGUUGGCGAAUACGGAGCAGGAGAUACAUGCUACUCUUAAGGACGCUUGCCUGCAGCUUGGGUUUGGUCAACAUCAGUCUCCUCCGUAAUCCAAGGAAUACUAUCCAAGUUGGGGGUGUAAUAGUUAUCAUCAAGAUGGAUAGGAGCAACAUCAGCGGCAAGCUCCUCCUCCUCCAGUGCACACUCUUCAUCGGAGUUCAGUGCGAGUGUGUUUGAUGAAAUCUAAAGGUGCCCAUUUGCAGUACUGGGGGCAAACAACUGCUUCAGCUUAUCGUAGUCGGGGCAUCCCUUCUUUCGCAGGUUAUUUGCGUUCCGAUUAGCCUACAACAACACAAGCAUAGGAACAAUUGUUAGGCAUCAAAGUAAUCAGAACAAUACAAAGACAUACCAUACUAACAUGAAACUCGAAAUGCAUAAAGUAACAUACCGCCACCACAUGUACCCAAACCUUGUCGAUGCAUGUAACAAUUUGGGUGGCCUCAUCCCACCCCAACCCCAACCCCAUACGAUUCAGCAAUUGACUCCACUUGCAUUGUUUACCCCAAAGCCUAUUGUGCUUUUGGAAGACUUUCUUAGCGGUGAAAUUUUUACCAGUCCUUUUAUUAAGUUCUUGUGUCAUUGUUUCCCACAUAGGGCCCUUCAAAACACCAUUCUCCAUAUUAUCCUUUAUUUGUUCCUCUACCAUAAUCUCUAUAAAUAUGUGUUCCAUGUGGGGAGGCCACAUUUUACCAUCCGCAUCUUGGGAUUCAUGUGCCAUCUAAUUCAAAUAUCUCGCAUGGUAAGAUAAACACACUUUGUAUUGAUAGGUAAAAAAAUGAAUAAGGAAUAUUAAUGUGUUACCGCGACCAAGUAUGUUGUGUAAGGAGAAAGUGUACAAGUAACUCUACAUAAACAAGCGGUACAUGUAAAUGAAGAUAACACCAUACUGACAUAUACUCCAAUUCAUAGCUAAACAUGUACAUUAUGACCAUGUAACAUAUAAAAAGUCAAAAGACCGAAACAUUGUUUUAUUACAAAAGUGGUCACUAAUAGCCAUAGAAUAGUGCAUGUGAAAGUGUACGCUAACGACACCAUAGUAGUCUACAAACCAUAGUGGGAAAAAAAUAAGUUAGCAGAAACAAAAUGGUUAGCUAUGCACUACAAUGCUUCUAAGUUCACCAAUCACCUCUUACUGAGAUAGACCAACCCCCCUCAUUCGGACCCACCACUGGCCACCCACACCUUGGCCCAUAACGAACUCCGUUGGCCCUACAAUACUCCCUCCGAACCAUACUGAACCGACUCAUAACCUGCCUCUUGCGGAAAUCCUUCCCAGUCCGAGCAUUGAGAGUGUUUAUGAUCACAUCCCACAAUGGCUCAUGGGGAAGCCUUGCCGCAAAAUUACCCAGCAGGAAUUGGCCGAAGACAGUGUCACAUAGUUCAUCGACACAAUCAUCAUCCCACCUCCUUAAAUCCCUAGCCAUCUAACAACAACCUCUAAUCAUGUAACAAUCACAUGUAAACAAUAAACAUUUCCAUAUAUUCAAUCAAAGUCAGACAAUAGUGUUUAGGGGUCUUAUCUUAAGGUGCAAUAGUUUUUACUUGAUCCUCCCUUAAAAACGCACCAUAUUGUUUAUGGAUACAGUUAGCUAUGUUACAUACUCUAUUGAUCUAUUGAUGUAUAUUCUAUCUAUA